AGUCCUGCCCUGUUCUCAGCAACCCCUUGUGACCACAGGCCCGCAGGGCCCAGUGGGAAGGGGGCAGCACAGGCAGCAAAGGGAUCAGGGCCUUCCAGGAAUCGGGUUUGAUCAGCCCAAACUCCACCUGCUAGUUAAACCAGGGAGUUCACAGUGCAUCCGGCUAGUGGGCAAACCAGGGAGGUAUAACAUUUUUUUUUUUUUUUUUUUUGCCUAAAUCAUGAUGCAAUCUGAUCACAAAGCCCCACAUUUAUCAGGUUUCUGUUUGUGUGUCAAGUUAGACAUUGACUCUCCAUGGGAAUCCCAUGAGGUACAUGGCAUGAUGCUGAUCUGACCAGGAGCUCAUCUAAAGCAGGUUCUCGGACUGCCUCACUCCCUGCCCAGCCCUCCGGAUGAUCUGUUCGCACGCUACCUAGCACACUCUGCAGCAGCACGAUGGGAGUGAAAAAGCACAGACAAAUUCAGGUUCAAACCUUCCAUGGGCCACUGGGGCCUGACUUCGAACUGCAGUUCUGCCACUGACGGACCAAUAGAUGAUCUUUAAAGUAUCAGGUAACAUCUCCCAAAUGCCUCCCUGAUGUAAGUGCACAAAACACGCCUGGAUUACCAGAGGUCUCUCUGCUGCUCACAGAAACUAGAUGUGACACGCCUCGGACAGGGCUUCAUUUCGUCAUCGACCACUCACCCUGUAAGCUCUAUGCAUUUUAACAGCGGAGAGAAACGCAUCCGAGUGUGCCUUACCC